UACCAAAAGUGAGUCUACCAUUAACUUACUAGCAUUUGUUCUUCAUAUGUAUCAAGUCUGAAUCCAAACUAGUUGCGAAAAUAGUUAAUGAUGUUUGAAAGAAAUUAGGUUGCUUCUCUUCAAGUGAUUCUCCCAUUGACAACUUAGUUGGACUUGAGUCACCUGUAAUGAAAGCGGAAUCCUUAUUAAGUAUUGAAUCAACGGAUAAUAAAAGAGUCAUAGGAAUUUGGGGUAUGGUAGGUAUUGACAGGACAACUAUUACUAAUGAAGUAUACAGUCAAAAACUCAUACAAAUUUGAUAGUUAAUGUUUUGUUGAUAAUGUCAAAGAGCAUAUGAGAAAACAAACAUCAAUUGCUUUAUGAGAUAAAAUCAUUGAGCAAUUUUUAGGGCAAAAAAAUUUACCUAUAAACACACCUCAGUUACCUGCUUUCAUUAAGAGAAAACAUCGUAGUAAAAAGGUCGUCAAUGUUGUUGACGAUGUGGAUGAUCCAAACCAUUUAAAGCUUUUAGCAAGAGAUCAUGAUUUGUAUCAUAAUAAAAGUAGAAUUAUUAUAACUAGCAGAGAAAGAUAUUUGCUUAAAAAUGUUUGCGAUGAGGAUUAUAUAUAUGGGGUUGAAAAAUUAAUUUAUGAUGAAGCUCUUUCUCUUUAGCUUGUAUGCUUUCAAACAAAAUCAUCCCAAGAAUCAAUUUGACCUGUUCCUGGUGCUAGUCGUUCCUUCAGUUUAUUUUCCUUCACAGAAAGUGCAUGUAGUGUUUCCAGUUAUCUUCAUUUUCUUUCUUUGUUUAAUUUGCAUCAUUUCUACUCUGUCUCAUAAUUGUUUAUUGAAUUAUUAAUCUAUAGUGUUUUUGCUCUCUUUAGCAAUUCUUGAAAGUAAUCAAAAUGGAUGUAUGAGAAUAUGGGAAAAAAAAUUUAGAAGUUUUGGGUAGAAUAUUUAAUUUGAAAUUGGACCUAUAAAUGGGAUUAUAAGUUUUGAGAUUGAAAAUUUAAUUUUUAAAGAGUUCAAGGAGUAAAGUGAAAUUUUUUUUAAAAUGACUUGCUUGCUGCUUUUUCUUCCGCAAAAUAAGGGAACGUGAAAAAUAAAAAAAAAGAAAAAAAAGAGGAAAGAAAAGAGGAAGAGUCAAGAAUCGGGAAAAAGGUGGGAAAAGGAGGAGAUUUGGCCAAGCCAUGACCUAGACCUUGAACACCCAACAAAUUUUUCGGUGGAAUUUCCCUCUUAUCAUUGUCCAUUUUCAUCUCUAAUAGCAUUCCCUCACCCGUUAUUGUCCAUAACCAAUUGAUUCACCGCAAUCUCCACCUGAAAACACUAAAAUUGAUGGAGAGAGUUGUGUGGCUGUCAUAUUUUCCCCUCCAAUUUCUAGUGCAGCCCAUUCCACUCUCAUCACUAUAUGUACCAAUGAAACCUCUCUAGCCAUUAGUUCAAGUGAAAGAGAAGAGAGAAGGGAAAAGUGGAGGAGUACGAAGACAGGGAGAGGCAAGAGGAAAAUUUCUGCAACAACACUCCACCAAAGAUUUGGUUAAAUUCUCAACAAAAGGAACCCAUCUAAGUCAAGGGAACUGAGGAGGAAAUUCCAAAACUCAACUCAGAUUGGAUGAUUUCCUUAACCCAAUUAUUUUAGCCAUAGGACAAUGAGUGGACCAUCUCAAGUGACAAGCUACACACACAAGGCCUUUUGUACCUAAUGGAAAAAUGUGCAUGUUUAAUUUACUUUUGAUAUGAGUAAUAAUCAAGCGCAUCAUAUAGAAAAUCUUUGAAAUAUGCUAAUAGGAGUAUGCUAUUUUCGUUCUACACUUCCUUUUAUUUAUUUAUAUAUAUUUUUUUAUAUAGUGUUCUAGAUUUAAUGUUGUAUUUCUCACUGGAGACAUUUAUUUUUCUUGUCUUAAAUGAUGGACUAUAAUAUGUGAACUAUUGGACUUAAGCCUUAAAGCUUGUGAUUAUGGUGCUUGCUUAAGAUUGUAUGUAAAAGAAAUUUUGAUAGGGGGAAAUGAAACAAUCCUAGUUUAAGUGAGAUAUCAAAAUUUUAGUAGAACUUUAAAGACUUUUAGAUGUUAUACGGAUGUUAUAUGGAUAAUUCAAUCAAGUGAAGUUAUAACACUAAGUUUGUCAUAUGUACUAAGAGCUAGGUGGGCCUGAUCAUCCUUCUUAGGAGGUACAUAAGUAGCCUUUGGGUGCGGUCAAAGAUAGAUAAAUUUUUCUGCAGUUGGAAACACAAUUGAGUUUUGAGUUAUUGUUCUUUGGUAAUAUUAUAUUAUUAUUUAAAUGAUGCGACUUACUGGUAUGCUCGUUUAUUUAUUUUCAUGUCUUUUAUAUGCUUAACGUUUGAGUUGAUUGUUUGAUUUAUUAGAAUGACUAUAUCUAUGUUAUAUUUACUUAGAAAUUUUCAGAGGUUACAUAAAUUAUGUACAUAUGAGGAAAUUCUAGCUAAAAGAACCAAUACUCUAUACUAGCGUACCUUAUUACUUUGUCCUAGUAUCUUAAUAUAUAAAUUGAUUUUGUUGAUGCCAUUUUAUUUAUUUAUUUAUUUGUCAUUUGAGAAAGAAUUUUGUUUAUUGAAAGUACUUGUAGUUAGUCAAUUGUUUCGAGGAAACUCUGAUGGUUUGGUUUCAGAUUACAUAUGUUCUAAAUUUGAAGGACUGUUGUGUCACAUUACCAUCUUCAAACCCAGUUGCAAGACCCUUCUUUUAUCACUUAUCAUGGCUUCUACUUCUUCAACCCGUCCCAGCUAUGAUGUUUUUAUUAGCUAUAGAGGCAAAGAUAUUCGAGAUGGUUUUGUCUCUCAUCUCUUUAAUGCUUUCCAGCAAAAAAAAAAUCAAUGCCUUCUUGGAUGAAAACCUUUGUAAAGGAGAAGAGAUCUCACCAGCUCUCUUGGCAGCAAUUGCAGAAUCAUAUGUCUCAGUGGUGAUAAUUAUGCCGAUUCCUCAUGGUGCUUGAAUGAGCUUGUGAAGAUACUUGAAUGCAGAAAAACAUUAGGACAAAUAGUCUUACCAGUUUUUUACCAUGUAGAUCCGACCGAUGUUCAAGAGCUGACUGGGAAUUUUGGGAAGGCAUUUACUAUUGCUAAGCAUGGAGAAGAACUCAAAGGUUGUUUAGACAGGGUGGAACAAUGGCGCCAGGCAUUGAUGGAAAUAAGCAUUAUAACAGAAUGGGAUUCACGGUA